AACGAACGCUGGCGGCAUGCCUAACACAUGCAAGUCGAACGAGACCUUCUGGUCUAGUGGCGCACGGGUGCGUAACGCGUGGGAACCUUCCCUUAUGUUCGGAAUAACUCCCCGAAAGGGGUGCUAAUACCGGAUAAUGUCUUCGGACCAAAGAUUUAUCGCCUUUGGAUGGGCCCGCGUUGGAUUAGCUAGUUGGUAGGGUAAAAGCCUACCAAGGCGACGAUCCAUAGCUGGUCUGAGAGGAUGAUCAGCCACACUGGGACUGGGACACGGCCCAGACUCCUACGGGAGGCAGCAGUGGGGAAUAUUGGACAAUGGGCGAAAGCCUGAUCCAGCAAUGCCGCGUGAGUGAUGAAGGCCUUAGGGUUGUAAAGCUAUUUUACCCGGGAUGAUAAUGACAGUACCGGGAGAAUAAGCUCCGGCUAACUACGUG
rnacentral:rRNA from 1 species